rnacentral:rRNA from 1 species
UACAGAGGGUCCAAGCGUUAAUCGGAAUUACUGGGCGUAAAGGGUGUGUAGGUGGUUGUGUAAGUGAGGUGUGAAAUCCCCGGGCUUAACCUGGGAACUGCAUCUUAUACUGUAUAACUAGAGUGCGAUAGAGGGUAGUAGAAUUCCCGGUGUAGCGGUGAAAUGCGCAGAUAUCGGGAGGAAUACCAGUGGCGAAGGCGGCUACCUGGAUUGACACUGACACUGAGACACGAAAGCGUGGGUAGCAAACAGG